rnacentral:tRNA from 1 species
AUUUAUAUAGUACAAUAAGUAUUUUUAACUUCCAAUUAAAAGAUCUAAUUUUUUUUAGUAUAAAUA